AGACCUAUGAGCUACCUAGAGGCAGGGAACUGUGCUUUUUUCCUCCUUUUAGUGAAUGAGUUCUGUAGUGGCUAUGAUUGUGCUUCAAUUACAGAUAGGGGCCACGUAUCUCUACCACCUAGCACAGAAUGGGCACUCAGAAAAUGGCAAUUGCAUGAGUGAAUUAAUUAAUUACUCUUACCUGGAAUGGUGACUUGUGCGACCUUUGCCAAGUCAUUCGCCAUCUGGAUUUCUUAGUUCUGCCCCAACUAGUGCUCCAAUAACAGGAAUCCCUUCAGGGGCCAGUUCUCUUCACAGCCAGAUCUGGCCAUGGCACUAAUGUUUGCCAUUCUCCAGGGAGAGGCCCCAGAACUUCACUGGAUGCUGUCCACUGGAUGACUGAGAAGAAGCAGGAGAAAAACAAGUCAAAGGAGGAGUGUCAGCUUGUCUCAGCAUUUCUUCAUCUGCUUUCCAUCUUUCUUGCUUCCCUAACACACACACACACACACACGCACACACGCACACACGCACACCCAUCUGCUUUCUUCCAUGCAGAAACACACAUGCACCUUCCAAGUAUGACUUUAAGUUCUGGAAUCCAAAGUCUUCUCUUAUCUGAAAUUCAUGGUGCACUUGCCCCUUUGGCAGAGCCUGCAAAGAGCUCAAGUGGGUGUUUUUAUAGUCAGCACACACACAAACUUGCCACACCACCAAUAAAGUUUUCCUUAUUGUUGUAACUGUUGGCAAAGGCAAAAGUCUGGGGAGAUUGACUGCCUGCACAGCUUCAUUAUACUGCAAGAAUAUUUUUGAUAAAAUUUCAACAGCUCCUGACUGACUGUCAACUUCACUGUGUGGCUUUUUAAAGUGAUCCCCCCACCCCUCCCUAAUUGGUCCUCAAACUCACAAAAACAUUCAGGUCAGUUGUUGAAUAUCUGAAUCUUUCCAAGUAAUUAGCAGGUAGAAUUACCAGGUAGCAGGCGUGUUUGCUUUUAUCUGUCAAUAGGGUCUGCAGUAAGGGGUAGUUGUCAUCUUGAGAGGCCUUGCAACCAUGUCUAAUUUAAAGUGUCAAUAGAGAGUUUAUUUCUGUCUUUUGUUCUCACUUCCAGGUUCUGAGUUCUCCCUUUAGAAUUGAGGCUCAAAGUAAGACAGAUAUUUGGAACAUGUGAAUUUCAAGGAAAAAUUUUCCCCAGAAACCGAAAAUAUGUAAAAACAUUUAGGCUCAUCCCUCUAUCCGCAUGACUUGGCUAGGUUAUAUCAACUUACAUAGUCAAGCCAGAUACACAGUAUCUGAUAAAUGCAGAAAAGGACAUUCAGUCUUUACCAAGCAGAAAAGUUACAUUUUGACAACUGUGAUGGGGGCAGGGCGCCGGGGCAGGGCGCCGUUUGGAUGGGGGUCUUUUAAUGCUCGCUGACACUUGCCUACUAGUUAUCAGUGGCUGCUACCACUGUUAGGCUUUUUGUUUUUAACUUCAAUCCGUUCUCUCUUCCUUACUGUUUAAACAGCUUUC
rnacentral:lncRNA from 1 species